rnacentral:lncRNA from 1 species
AGCUGCAGCCGCGGAUCCGGGGCUCGGAACGCUCGACCUCCCGGGCUCCCGCACUUCAGCCCGAUGCCGGUCGCAGCUCCGCGCCGCUCUCCUGGAAGUCGGGCCACACCGGGAGGAUUCGCAAGCCCCGCAGACUCAAACCCCCGCCCCCCGGGCCAGGAGAGCCGCAAAGUGCCGCUGCGCCUUCUCCACGGAAAUUCGGGGGUUCUGCACGUGGCCAGAAAAGGAUGAGCAAAGGAUGGAAGGCGGGAGGGAAAGGGCAGAGUGCAGGAAUCCCUGCACAUGGACAGGAAAAAAGAGGGAGGGGAAACUGCAGGAAUCCUGCACGUGCACCCAAGGGAACGUAGUUUAAUGAAAAGCAGCCGAGCUCCAGAUUUCUCUGUAAACCUGCCCUGUCUGAUUCCCCAACAUCUUUUCCCCACCGUUUGCUGCUAGCAGAAGCACUGGAAUGUCGGUCGAGUGUUUUGGCGUUAGGAUUGAUCGUCAAAGCCAGUCUGUGCCAACCCUAACAACAUGUGUUCCUUUUCUGGUGUUCGCCGCGGAGAAUUGGCUUAGGUUGUUCCAAAAAUAAAGAUGUCCCAGAAGAAUGUUUUGUAUUGUGUACUCAUUCUUCAACAAACUUUAAUUUUAUGAACCUCAAAAAAGGCGAAAUUUUAACAACUAGGAUACAGUAUUUUAUCGAUUAGCAUUCUUAACAGCACCUGUGUUACCUCUGGAAACGCUGGUGGCGGCGUUGUAAAUUAGUAUAACCCUUUCAAAAAGCAAUUUCACGACACAGAUGCCAUAUGAGCUCCUGAGACUACGAGACGCUCACAGGCUAACAACAUUAACAGCGAGAAUACAGAAGGGAGCGACCAAUGCCACCUGAACCUCCAGAAAGCAUCACCAUCACCAUCAAAACCCUUAGACCACGCCAGCACAGUAGAUCUUAAAUGAAGCCUAAAUAGGUCCACGAGACACAGGGUCAUCAAGGCUCCUUCCGGGGACCCACAAGGUCAAAGCUCCUCCAGUCUCGUCCCUUGUUGGUCUCUCACACAUGCACAGUGGAGUUCCACAACAGUCGCAUGACACACCCUCACAGCGGACUGCAUGCAAAAAGGAGAAUGCAGCUGAGCCCUGUC